UGCAACCUGAACUCAAAUGUGAUUACCCGCUGAACU
rnacentral:rRNA from 1 species